GUGGGGAAUCUUCCGCAAUGGACGAAAGUCUGACGGAGCGACGCCGCGUGAGUGAAGAAGGCCUUCGGGUCGUAAAGCUCUGUCAUCAGGGACGAACGGCCGGUGGAGUGGAAAGCCACCGGAUUGACGGUACCUGAGAAGGAAGCCACGGCUAACUACGUGCCAGCAGCCGCGGUAAUACGUAGGUGGCAAGCGUUGUCCGGAAUUAUUGGGCGUAAAGCGCGCGCAGGUGGGAUCUUAAGUCUGUUCUGAAAGUUCGGAGCUUAACUCCGUGAUGGGAUGGAAACUGGGAUUCUUGAGUAUCGGAGAGGAAAGCGGAAUUCCCCGUGUAGCGGUGAAAUGCGUAGAUAUGGGGAGGAACACCAGUGGCGAAGGCGGCUUUCUGGACGAUGUCUGACACUGAGGCGCGAAAGCCAGGGGAGCGAACGGGAUUAGAUACCCGAGUAGUCC
rnacentral:rRNA from 1 species